rnacentral:rRNA from 1 species
UACGAAGGGGGGCUAGCGUUGUUCGGAAUCACUGGGCGUAAAGCGCACGUAGGCGGAUUGUUAAGUCGGAGGUGAAAUCCCAGGGCUCAACCCUGGAACUGCCUUCGAUACUGGCUAUCUCGAGUCCGGGAGAGGUGAGUGGAACUGCGAGUGUAGAGGUGAAAUUCGUAGAUAUUCGCAAGAACACCAGUGGCGAAGGCGGCUCACUGGCCCGGUACUGACGCUGAGGUGCGAAAGCGUGGGGAGCAAACAGG